UACGAAGGGGGCUAGCGUUGUUCGGAUUUACUGGGCGUAAAGGGCGCGUAGGCGGAUUUCUAAGUCAGAGGUGAAAGCCCAGGGCUCAACCCUGGAAUUGCCUUUGAUACUGGAGAUCUAGAGACCGGAAGAGGUAAGUGGAACUGCGAGUGUAGAGGUGAAAUUCGUAGAUAUUCGCAAGAACACCAGUGGCGAAGGCGGCUCACUGGCCCGAUACUGACGCUGAGGCACGAAAGCGUGGGGAGCAAACAGG
rnacentral:rRNA from 1 species